rnacentral:lncRNA from 1 species
CACCGCCGAGACUUCAUAAAGCUGAUCGCCUUCAUAUUUGUUGCUAUCACCGUAAUAGAUGCGGCCGAGGAGUCUCAUGAUCGGAGGAAUACAAAACAGGUCGUAAGCAUCAGUGAACAACCCCAUUCCCGCCACGAUUAUGGCCUUGAAAUGAUAGUAUUGUGUUCUUGCCGAGUCGAGAUCAGAGAGAACUUUGAGCGCCAUUGUACAAUUCCCACAAUUUUUCCUUCCUAAGUCGAAAGAUUUAUACCUAUUCGGUCCCCGAGGUAACCAAAAACCAGCUGCCCAAUAACGGUCCCGAGGAGGGCCGUGCCAACCAUGACAGAAGUCACCACCGCCGAGACUUCAUAAAGCUGAUCGCCUUCAUAUUUGUUGCUAUCACCGUAAUAGAUGCGGCCGAGGAGUCUCAUGAUCGGAGGAAUACAAAACAGGUCGUAAGCAUCAGUGAACACCCCCAUUCCCGCCACGAUUAUGGCCUUGAAAUGAUAGUAUUGUGUUCUUGCCGAGUCGAGAUCAGAGAGAACUUUGAGCGCCAUUGUACAAUUCCCACAAUUUUUCCUUCCUAAGUCGAAAGAUUUAUAAACUAGAGUCAAAUUUCUUGUACUCAUCCAUGCUUUAAAAUAAUUGGUAAUCCAAGACUGAAAGAGACAAUGGAAGUUGGAGGGGAAUUUCUUACAAACAGACAACUACAAGAGAAGACUUC